rnacentral:rRNA from 1 species
GAUGAACGCUGGCGGCGUGCCUAACACAUGCAAGUCGAACGAAGCACCUUACCUGAUUCUUCGGAUGAAAGUUUGGUGACUGAGUGGCGGACGGGUGAGUAACGCGUGGGUAACCUGCCCUGUACAGGGGGAUAACAGCUGGAAACGGCUGCUAAUACCGCAUAAGCGCACGAGGAGACAUCUCCUUGUGUGAAAAACUCCGGUGGUACAGGAUGGGCCCGCGUUUGAUUAGCUGGUUGGCAGGGUAACGGCCUACCAAGGCAACGAUCAGUAGCCGGUCUGAGAGGAUGAACGGCCACAUUGGAACUGAGACACGGUCCAAACUCCUACGGGAGGCAGCAGUGGGGAAUAUUGCACAAUGGGGGAAACCCUGAUGCAGCAACGCCGCGUGAGUGAAGAAGUAUUUCGGUAUGUAAAGCUCUAUCAGCAGGGAAGAUAAUGACGGUACCUGACGAAGAAGCACCGGCUAAAUACGUG